GGUCCCGCUGGCACUCCGGGGCCAGGAACGCUCCGGCAGAGAGGGACACGGUGGGAAACCGAGGAGCAAGGGCACAGGAUCCCGAAAUUCAGCAGAAUCCUCAUUGCAAUGUGCCUGGCACAGCUCCCACUGCUCUGCUCCUGGCCCUGCCAAGGGCACACACUGAUGUGGAAUCACCCUCUGGAUCUGGCAAAUACCCCAGGAAAGUCCUCAGGAUGACUUCCAAGAUCCUGUGCCUGGCCUCCCAUGACCAUCCUCUUCCUCAUUUAUUCACAAUGGUAAAUAUUC